UACAGAGGGUGCAAGCGUUAAUCGGAAUUACUGGGCGUAAAGCGUGCGUAGACGGUUACGUAAGUCGGGUGUGAAAGCCCCGGGCUCAACCUGGGAAUUGCAUUCGAGACUGCAUAGCUAGGGUGCGGAAGAGGGAAGCGGAAUUUCCGGUGUAGCGGUGAAAUGCGUAGAUAUCGGAAGGAACACCAGUGGCGAAAGCGGCUUCCUGGUCCAGCACCGACGUUCAGGCACGAAAGCUAGGGGAGCGAACAGG
rnacentral:rRNA from 1 species